UUUGCUAUCACUGAACUCACCCUGGCCGUUACUUUUGUCUAAGCUUCCACCACCGUUACUCCCAGCACCUCCCUCCCGACAGCUCUACAGCAAGAAAACGUAAUCGGCCUCUCUGAAAUCAUCAAUAGGACUCCACUUGAGUUCUGUACUAAAACCCUAAAAACCGAUGGAGGGGAGUAGCAGCGAAGAACUCGUGAUGUAUAGAGCUCCAGAAGAAUUUGAAGAAGUGAAAAAGGACCCUCUUAUUGAACUCAAUUUAAACGAUUCAAAGGAGCUCUGGCUGAUUCAAUGGCCUGUUAAUCAAGCUCCUGAUUUGAAUGGACAGCAAGUGUCUUUAAAGCUUCACCAUGAUGGACAUCUGGGUAGUUUCGAGGGUUCAUCCGGUACUGCUAUUUUUCCUGAUCACUUUUAUGUUAUUCCAUUGUUUCCUGCAUUUGAUGGUUUUGUGCAAAAGUGGUUUCUAAAUUUGUUAAAAUCCAAGAUUAUGUCAACGAUGAUGAUGGAUGGCAUUGUUUUGUGUCAAUACUGUCAUAGGAAAAUCGUAUGAAGUGGUAAGUUUCAAGUCACAGGAGCCAGAAGCGACUGUAUUCCUGUCAUCAACAUCAGAGUCCAGAAUCGCUGGGAAGAUCUCACGACGCGUUUCUCUACUGCAUUAUCCGGAGCCCAGUGAACUGAAAUCUGGUGGGUUAGCCAUUAAACAAAUGGUGCAAAGGUCUGCUGCUUCCUUGACAAAUUCAGCACAUCAUUAUAGAACUCCUACGCAAAGUACAAGGACAAGAAGUUUAGGGGCUGUGAGUGGCUAUACUUCCUCUAUACGUACUCCAAGAAACAGAAGUUCUAGGUCCGGGGAUGCAUCAAAGAGUCCAUUGAGAAGAGAUGUGGAUGAGCCAGGUAGGUCGAUUGACCAUUCUGUCCAAGAUUCAGGAAAAGAACAUAGAGCUGAUGUCUCUUCUGGAUCAUUAGAACAUCCUAAGCAAAAAAAAUCGAAUAAGAGGUUGAAGAUGUUCUGAUUGUUAGAGACGUGGAAGAACUUCAGUUUCAGUUAUAUGUUGCAUUGAUCCAAAUUUUAACUUUUUCAUGGCAACAAUUGAUCCUUCUUCACAAUGUAUCCUAUUUAUAUACCGUACCAAUUUUAAGUUUAGAUCUGUUCUCCAAUGUGCAUGGAAAACAAUGAGCUGAAAAAAGAGAAAUUUUGAUUUGACCAUUAAGGUGCUUUCAUUGCAACUGCUCAGGAAAUGAGUUCAAAACCAACCAUUUGAUAUAAGCAUCAAAUCCAGAAUGCUACUUGGAAGUAACCAAAACGUCAGACAUUGCACGGAUCAUAUUGCUCAUCCCUUGAUGAGUUUAUUGUACAAACCUUGCAGAAAUGGUAACAAAGGGCAUCGUUGUUGGCACAAAUAAGUCGUUUGUUUUCCUUACAGUUCUUCUCGAUUCAAAACUAAAGUAAGUGCUUAGUCAAGUAAGGCUCGUAAGGCUUGGUGGGAUGAAAGGUCAAGAAUUCGAACCUCGCUUUCCACCAUCUACCACUAUAUGUGGCCAGCCACUUUAAAAGUGGUUCCAAAGGGGUGCGUAGUGCUCUCGUCUGAACUGGUGGUGGUUCAGUCCCUACUGGUUUUCCCUUGAGUCUCUUCAGGUCCUCCCUUCCCCUCCCCUUCCCCCAUAGCAUAGAAUAACAUGUAGGUCUAUCGUAUCCGGCAAAAAAAAGAAAAGAAAAAUGGUGGGAGAACGAGGGAUUAUCUGCAUCAGGGUGACUCCUGUGUAGGACAAAAGGAACGUGUGUCUGUUGAGCUCUGUAAAAUUGAUGCAAGAAUUAUGCGAGUAAUAGCUGCGAUGCAGCAGUUGGAAGCUAAACUUGAGCCUGCAUCUGCUUUUGAUUACCGGGCAAUCGUAGUACCCCUAGUGAAGUCAUAUAUGCGGGCUCACUUGGAGGAUCUUGCAGAGAAAGAUGCCACAGAGAAAUCUGAUGCCGCCAGAGAAGCAUUUUUGGCAGAACUUGCUCUUGAUUCUAAGAAGGGCAGCAGCGGAGGAAGUGAUAAUGCUCGUCAUAUGCAUGAGAAAACAAAGGAUAAGAAAAAGAGCAAGGAUUUUCAAAAAGCCAAGGAUUCAAAGGCUAAUAGUGGCAGUGAGCUACAUAUGCUUUCCUCAGAGACUACUAAAGAAAUCUCAUAUCCAGUCGCACACGAGGGAGAAGAUAUACAGGCUGAGAUAGUGAAUGCUGGAAAUGGUGACACCUUAGAACAAGAGGAAGAGGAAGUCAGGCGUAGAAUUGAACUUGAAGCUGAGGAGAGAAAGCUAGAAGAAACUUUGGAAUAUCAAAGGCAUAUUGAAAAUGAAGCUAAACAGAAGCAUCUAGCUGAGCAACAUAAGAGAACUGUGGGGAUAAAUCCAGAAAAAGUUGCAGCAAUUGCUCACUCUGAUACUUACUUGAAGCAACAUCAAGAUGAUCAUGAUGUCAAUGUCCAAUGGAAAUAUAGAAAAGAAGAACCCGUGGUACAGAGGAAUGGAUUUUCAAAUGCCAUGGAAGGUUUUCCAGAGGAUGGAGUUGGACAAAAAGCUGGCUUGCCCAACGGGGGAAGCUUAGAGGAUGGCCUUUUGCCUUCUGAUCGACGGUCAGGAAGGAGACAUAGACGGCAAAAAUGUGCAGCUAGACUUAACCAGCCCGUGCUAUCAGAAAAGGAAAACUUGGAAUUGAAACCCUUGGAUGAAGCACAUGAUGAUGCAACAAAGACAUUGAGACAACUACAGGCAGAGGAGGAUGAUUAAGAAAGGUUCCAAGGACAGAUGAAUGAUGCUUCUGAAGUGUUGGGUGUCAUAUUUGAUUGCCUUCAUCGAUUAUUUACCUCAACCAUGUGUACUUCUGAUGCCGAAUCAUUAGAUAGCAACUGCAUGGACUCUUGGGAUUGCACAAAUGGUGCUUGCGUUGCACAUUCUCUUUUUGGCAUGGACAUAUUUGAAAGAAUGAAUUGUUACAAUUGUGGUCUGGAGUCCAGACACUUAAAGUACACUUCAUUCUUCCACAAUAUCAAUGCCAGUGCUCUCCGUACUAUGAAGGUUAUGUGUCCAGAAAGCUCUUUUGAUGAGCUUCUGAACCUUGUUGAGAUGAAUCACCAAUUAGCUUGUGAUCCUGAAGCUGGUGGCUGUGGAAAGCUUAACUACAUCCAUCAUAUUCUGUCGACCCCACCACAUGUUUUCACAACAGUUUUGGGUUGGCAGAAUACCUGUGAACAUGUUGAUGACAUAAAGGCCACAUUGACAGCCUUACCUACAGAGAUGGAUAUCAGUGUCCUUUAUCGUGGUCUUGAUCCAAAAAAUAGGCACUGCUUGGUCUCAGUGGUUUGCUAUU